AGUGAACGCUGGCGGUAGGCCUAACACAUGCAAGUCGAACGGCAGCACAGUAAGAGCUUGCUCUUACGGGUGGCGAGUGGCGGACGGGUGAGGAAUACAUCGGAAUCUACUUUUUCGUGGGGGAUAACGUAGGGAAACUUACGCUAAUACCGCAUACGACCUACGGGUGAAAGCAGGGGAUCUUCGGACCUUGCGCGAUUGAAUGAGCCGAUGUCGGAUUAGCUAGUUGGCGGGGUAAAGGCCCACCAAGGCGACGAUCCGUAGCUGGUCUGAGAGGAUGAUCAGCCACACUGGAACUGAGACACGGUCCAGACUCCUACGGGAGGCAGCAGUGGGGAAUAUUGGACAAUGGGCGCAAGCCUGAUCCAGCCAUACCGCGUGGGUGAAGAAGGCCUUCGGGUUGUAAAGCCCUUUUGUUAGGAAAGAAAAGCAGCAGGUUAAUACCCCGCUGCUCUGACGGUACCCAAAGAAUAAGCACCGGCUAACUUCGUG
rnacentral:rRNA from 1 species